UACGUAGGGUGCGAGCGUUGUCCGGAAUUAUUGGGCGUAAAGGGCUCGUAGGCGGUCUGUUGCGUCGGGAGUGAAAACUCAGGGCUUAACCCUGAGCCUGCUUCCGAUACGGGCAGACUAGAGGUAUGCAGGGGAGAACGGAAUUCCUGGUGUAGCGGUGAAAUGCGCAGAUAUCAGGAGGAACACCGGUGGCGAAGGCGGUUCUCUAGUACGGUACUGACGCUGAGACGCGAAAGCGUGGGGAGCGAACAGG
rnacentral:rRNA from 1 species